rnacentral:rRNA from 1 species
AUUGAACGCUGGCGGCAUGCCUUACACAUGCAAGUCGAACGGUAACGCGGGGCAACCUGGCGACGAGUGGCGAACGGGUGAGUAAUGCAUCGGAACGUGCCCAGUAGUGGGGGAUAACUGCUCGAAAGAGCAGCUAAUACCGCAUACGACCUGAGGGUGAAAGCGGGGGAUCGCAAGACCUCGCGCUAUUGGAGCGGCCGAUGUCAGAUUAGGUAGUUGGUGGGGUAAAGGCCCACCAAGCCAACGAUCUGUAGCUGGUCUGAGAGGACGACCAGCCAAACUGGGACUGAGACACGGCCCAGGCUCCUACGGGAGGCAGCAGUGGGGAAUUUUGGACAAUGGACGCAAGUCUGAUCCAGCCAUGCCGCGUGCGGGAAGAAGGCCUUCGGGUUGUAAACCGCUUCUGUCAGGGAAGAAACGCUCUGGGUUAAUACCUCGGGGUAAUGACGGUACCUGAAGAAUAAGCACCGGCUAACUACGUGCCAGCAGCCGCAGUAACAC